rnacentral:lncRNA from 10 species
AAGGGAAGUGCCCUCCGGAGGCCCUAGGAUGGGGAGACGGGAUAUUAAAGCCAUGACAGCAAACAGCCCCUUUCUCCUAAGGUUCCUGAUUUGAAGUGGCAAAACAAGGCAGUGGCAUAGUCUCCUGUCCUAUGUCCUUGGCAUGCAGUUGGCUUCAGGUCACAUGUUGCUCUGGAGAACCGAGAAGGGUGAGCAGACACCAAUCAUGACCCCAAACAGCAAGAGGACAGAAGGGAUCCCCCCUACUCCACAGCUUGACGGCAGAGCAGUGACCAGAAUAUAUGCUCAGGAAGGCCAAAGAGAUGAAGCCGCAGCUGCCUCUUUUUUUUUUUUGA